CGGGGUGUAGCACAGCUUGGUAGUGCGCAUCGUUCGGGACGAUGAGGUCGCAGGUUCGAAUCCUGUCACCCCGA
rnacentral:tRNA from 1 species